rnacentral:siRNA from 1 species
GGGGAACCUCCAUGGUUACUA